GAUCCUCACGGAAAAGGAACAGA
rnacentral:piRNA from 1 species